AUGCUCCAGCGUAAGAACUUUUUCAUAGAAGACUAUACUUGUAUCUUGUGUAACAAGGAUGCGCUGGAGACAAGGGACCAUCUAUUCUUCCAUUGUCCUUUUGCAAGAGCAUGCUGGUCUUAUCUCUGCCCCAAUUGGUCUCCACUUCAGCAAGGCUUACAGGCAGAUAUCGAUUCACUCAAAGCUGAGCUGGGAUUACCCUUCGCGCUAGAGAUAAUCAUCCUAGCUUCUUGGGCCAUUUGGACUACACGCAAUGAUUGGAUCUUUAAACGAAUUGUUCCAAGCCUUUAUAGUUGCAGAAAGAGAUUCAAGGAAGAGCUCAAGUGGUUGGUUCACAGAGCAAAGAGGAAAGCAUACCACAACAUGGAGGGCUGGGUUCAGGCCUUUGCCUAG
rnacentral:rRNA from 1 species